CGCUUUCGUCGCACUCGGACCGGGCUUUAUUCCUUUGGUAUUCUUCGGUAUGGUUCAGCCGACUACCCUAAAGAAAAAGCAUUCCCUGGUGGGGAAAAGUUUGCUGCCGCUGUUCGCACGGUUCAAUGGUAGCCCUGAUGAGCCCAGAGAGUUGGCUAGGAUGGACAAGCUCCAAAUAAUUAUCAAUGUUAUUUUUGUAAAUCACCAGAUCAUUUUUAUCGUGAUUGCGAUAAAAUGAAAGAGGCAUCGAAGAUGGCAAAAACGAAGUAGGUCCCCUCCCGGAGCAUUCUGCUCUAGUGGAGAUUUACAUCUUCACGUGGGUGGGGGGCCGGGCUUCGCGUCCGUCGGAUUUGUCUGCUGCGACUUUUAAAGCUACUGCUCUCUUUGUUUUAGGGUAUGGACAUUUUGGGUUACGAAAUCCAGGAUUGGGAAUUCCAGAUUCCGUUUGAUCCGCAGAGAGCAGUAGCAUCCAAGCAUCUGUCGCCGCAGUGGACAACUCUGGAUGGGCGUGAACCUCGGCUUUCCACCCACCAAUGCCCGGAUUUUGAAAGCGUUAUAAAUGACGGUGUAUGUUUUGAUUUGAACGAGCUGCCACUACGAAACCCUGA